rnacentral:rRNA from 1 species
GACGAGCGCUGGCGGCGUGCCUAAUACAUGCAAGUAGAACGCUGAAGGAGGAGCUUGCUCUUCUGGAUGAGUUGCGAACGGGUGAGUAACGCGUAGGUAACCUGCCUGGUAGCGGGGGAUAACUAUUGGAAACGAUAGCUAAUACCGCAUAAGAGUAGAUGUCGCAUGACAUUUGCUUAAAAGGUGCAAUUGCAUCACUACCAGAUGGACCUGCGUUGUAUUAGCUAGUUGGUGAGGUAACGGCUCACCAAGGCAACGAUACAUAGCCGACCUGAGAGGGUGAUCGGCCACACUGGGACUGAGACACGGCCCAGACUCCUACGGGAGGCAGCAGUAGGGAAUCUUCGGCAAUGGACGGAAGUCUGACCGAGCAACGCCGCGUGAGUGAAGAAGGUUUUCGGAUCGUAAAGCUCUGUUGUAAGAGAAGAACGAGUGUGAGAGUGGAAAGUUCACACUGUGACGGUAUCUUACCAGAAAGGGACGGCUAACUACGUGCCAUCAGCCGCGGUAAUACGUAGGUCCCGAGCGUUGGCCGGAUUUAUUGGGGCGUAAAGCCAGCGCAGGCGGGUAGAUAAUUCUGAUGUUAGAGGCUGUGGCUUAACCAUAGUACGCUUGGUGAACUGUUUUAGUGGAGUGCAGAGGGGAGAGUGGAAUUCCAUGUGUUGUGGGUGAAGUGUGUAUAUAUUUGGAGUAACUCUGUUGUGCGAGUUGGGUUUUUGGUUGUUGCUGAUGUGUGAUGUUCGGAGUGUUGGGUGCUCUGUUUUGUUCGCUGUGUUGUGAAGGUGAAUGUGUGUGUUGUUGGUGUGAUGAUUUGUGUGUGCGUGGGGGGAAAAAAAAAGCAAGGUGUGUUGUUUAGUUGUGUUGUGAUGUGUGUGUGGCGCGUG